GCGGGGGUGUUGGUGGUGCGGGCGUUGGGGUGUGGUGUGUGGGGUUGGUGGUUGUUGUUGUUGAACAUAGAGUCUGCAGUUGACACAAAAAAUACAAACAACCACACAAAGAAAAGAGAUCAUGUAUAGCUACAUAGUAAAAAUCCAAUUCAGCAAUGGCUGACAGUUUUGACAUCCUACGAAGACACAAGCCUAUCAUUAUUCCCUUUUAGUUUAAAACAAGUUCAAUCAUUCUUGCAUCGCAACAGCUCAAUAUAAUCGUCCAAUCUUUCCAAACAGAUGAAAGGCACUCAAUCUGCCAAAAAGAUUUUUUUUGAAAAAAAAGUCCCCAUUGAAUUGCUGAUUUGAUUUAUAUUCUUGUCUAAUCAGCAUUAUCAAUUCAACAUCAUCCUAAAGUGUAAGGACAAGAAUUUUUCCAAUCGUCAAUUCAGAUUCAGGGAAAUAAUUCUCAGAAACCUUGUAAUUCAAUUUUGUUUUUCUUUAAGUGAAAAAUCACAAGCAAUACAUUCAACCAAGCCAUUUGAAGACAUGUUCCAUAUCUAACAAACAUAUAGCCAUCGAAAUGAACUAGGGAGAAAAAAAAAAUCAACAAAAAAAAUAAAUGAAACUAAAACCCAAAUCAGAUCUAAACCCAAAGAUCUCAUAAACUCAAAGGUUUCCGAUCUCAAGAAAGACAAAAGAUAAUUAGUAUUAGAAACAUAAAAAAAAUAAAAAUAAAGAAAAAA
rnacentral:misc_RNA from 1 species